rnacentral:lncRNA from 1 species
CGAGAUACAAUACUUAUUAGAUUAAUCUGUAUUUGAUUAAGUACACGAUAUUAGCAAAACACGAAAUCAGUAUUACAAAUACAGAACGACCAACACUGAAGGAUUUUAUUAAAUCACAUCACACUUUUAAUUCUUUACAAUCAACUUGUUACUCUAUACCUCUACUACAUCCUGUUCUUCUACCUGCAACAAAAAAGAGGAGAAAAGGGAGAAGUACUCCCUACAACUACUACAGCUGCUGCAACAAAGGGAAAGAAGAAGGAAAACAGGGGGGGAGGAUGGUUGGAGCAUGGGGCAGCUGCUGCUACAGUUCCCAGCAGCCCCCUCUACAGCUACACACUCUCUCUUCCUCUCCAGCCACCCUCCUCUGCAGCCAAACAACAGCAGCCUUACCUUAGGCUGUCAUCUCAGCCACUCUACAACCAUACUCCUUCCUUUUAGCACACUCAAGUGCACAUCAACCAAGCUCCUAGUAUUAAUUCACUCUUCAAUCCUUGAGCCACCCUUCCUCUUUCAACACUUUGAAUUUCAGCAGCAACAACAGGAUUCUGCACUCCAUCUUUGCCAAGAAUUCCAAGAAGGUAAUCCUUGGCUUUAAUGCUCCCACCUUUAUGUUCAUUUCACCUGCAUUGAUGAACAACAAUCACUAAUUACCUCAGCUUCCAAUCAUUUUAUUUAAUGCUCACAACCAACAACAAUUAUUCUAUUUCAGUUUCCAUCCCCUGUAUUUAAUUCAACACAGCAGCAAACAGCCACCACAUCCAUAUCCUCAAGGUAAUUAUUAUCCCAGUUUACUCUCUCCAUUCACAUGCUUCACAUUCACAUCCCAACAAAACCUAUGUUUAGUAUAAGUGCUGAGAUAUUGAUUGAUGGCAUAUUACUGCUAUAGAAUCAUCAGACUAGAAUCCUUAAACAAGGCAAAUGCAUCAAGAAAUACUAAAUAGCAUGAGAACCAAAAGAACACGCCACUAGCCCUUGCAUAAACAGUAUAGAGAACUGAAACUUCAAGUAGACAAGCUUCGAACUUAGCAUUUAGAAUGGAAGAAAGACUCUUUUCGGUACCUGUUUAUUUUUUUCAAACGGAGUUUGAGCUGAGAGGGAGCGACUGCCCAGCUCCGUCCAGCCGAAGAGAAAAACGGCGGCAGAGCCCUACUGUUCGGCGGAAGAAUAUUCCUCGCUGGAGUCCAACUGUGGCGGUAACCUCAUCGGAGCCCUAGAGAGACAGGGGAUGCGGUGGAAUCUCGCCGGAACUGUUCACGUGACGUGGCCGUGGCUCUACUCCUCGCUGGACGAAAUCGCGGAGCCUAGGGUCAGCAACACAAAACCCAUGGCGGUGGCGAAUUCUAAGCACGAAGCUAGGGCUCGUCCUAUGAGAGAUGAGAGAUUACAGAAGAGAACGGCGCAGAGCGGCGCUGUACCUUCAGAACCACGGAGGCGGUCUGAUCCGUUGGGUUUUGCAAACAGAGUCACCGAACAUCACAAGAUGGUGGCGGACGGACCUUUGAUGAAAAAAUUAGGGCUCUAUUUGUGGCUUCAUCGCGAGAAUUGAGAAAGGAAAGAGUUAGGGUUCGGUUCCUGUUUUCGAUUAAGCAUGCCUGAGUCUAACUUGAGUAGAGAGAGGGUAGGGCCGUUGAAGACGUCGGCUUCGCCGGAUUAUCAGAAACCGCAGCGGCGGAUUUUGGUGAGAGAAUGGACGAAUUUUGAAAAGAGAGGGGAGGGCUGAGUCAGUCGAUAACUGGAGAGAAAAAAAAAAAGGGAUGGGCUGAGCUUUCUUAAUUGAUUCAUGAGCUUAUCUGGGCCGAUUUCUUUUGGGCUGCUAUAUAUUAAGUGGGCUACGUUUUUAUUCAUUCAAAUUGGNGCCUUUUAUUAAGUGGAUUGGAUUGCAGAUUUUAGAAGUGGGCAGCUAUAGUUAUUUGAUUGGGCCA